CAGGUCUUGACAUCCUCUGACACUCCUAGAGAUAGGACGUUCCCCUUCGGGGGACAGAGUGACAGGUGGUGCAUGGUUGUCGUCAGCUCGUGUCGUGAGAUGUUGGGUUAAGUCCCGCAACGAGCGCAACCCUUGAUNUUAGUUGCCAGCAUUCAGUUGGGCACUCUAAGGUGACUGCCGGUGACAAACCGGAGGAAGGUGGGGAUGACGUCAAAUCAUCAUGCCCCUUAUGACCUGGGCUACACACGUGCUACAAUGGAUGGUACAAAGGGCAGCGAAGCCGCGAGGUGGAGCCAAUCCCAUAAAACCAUUCUCAGUUCGGAUUGUAGGCUGCAACUCGCCUACAUGAAGCUGGAAUCGCUAGUAAUCGCGGAUCAGCAUGCCGCGGUGAAUACGUUCCC
rnacentral:rRNA from 1 species